rnacentral:rRNA from 1 species
UACAGAGGUCUCAAGCGUUGUUCGGAUUCAUUGGGCGUAAAGGGCGCGUAGGCUGCGGGGCAAGUCGGGUGUGAAAUCUCAGAGCUCAACUCUGAAACUGCAUUCGAUACUGCCGUGCUUGAGGACUGGAGAGGAGACUGGAAUUUACGGUGUAGCGGUGAAAUGCGUAGAUAUCGGGAGGAACACCUGAGGCGAAGGCGGGCUACUGGGCUGAUACUGACGCUGAUGCGCGAAAGCUAGGGGAGCAAACGGG